UGGGGAAUUUUGGGCAAUGGGCGAAAGCCUGACCCAGCAACGCCGCGUGAAGGACGAAAUCCCUCUGGGAUGUAAACUUCGAAAGUCAGGAAAGAAAUCCUUGGGGGUAAUAUCCCUAAGGGAUGACGGUACCUGACGUAAGCCCCGGCUAACUACGUGCCAGCAGCCGCGGUAAUACGUAGGGGGCAAGCGUUGUUCGGAAUUACUGGGCGUAAAGGGCGCGUAGGCGGCACGGCAAGUCAGGAGUGAAAGGCCUGGGCUCAACCGAGGAACUGCUUUUGAGACUGCCGAGCUAGAGUGCAGAAGGGGCAACUGGAAUUCCCAGUGUAGCGGUGAAAUGCGUAGAUAUUGGGAAGAACACCUGAGGCGAAGGCGGGUUGCUGGGCUGACACUGACGCUGAGGCGCGAAAGCCAGGGGAGCAAACGG
rnacentral:rRNA from 1 species